rnacentral:lncRNA from 1 species
GAAAUAAUAGCUUUCCUAAUAUUUUUCUAAACAGAGCGUAAGGACUAUCUUCGGGUAAGCUCUAAGGGGUGCCUAACACCUUCCCCUCGAGUAAUCAAAACCCUUACUCAGAAUCUCAAAAUAUUUCGAUAGACUAAAACAGAGUUUUACAAUAAAAAAUGAUUUUUCCUAAUUUUUCUAAAAAGUUAGGUGGCGACUCUAAAACAUAAAAAUACUUUUUCAAAUCCCAUGAGUCACUAGACGCCACCACAUGCCAUUGUGCUGUUUUGAUCGGUUCGAAAUAUGGGCACGACAGCUGCGAGAUGAACAACGAGCGCUCAUUGUGAAGGUUGUCCCCAUCGGUGACCAGAGAGACUAAAAAAGAAUAUAAUAGUUACAGUUCUCUUAAGUUUAUCUAUCCAACUGGUACGGAGGCUACGCUUCAUGACUAAAAUAAGGAAAGAACCAAUCACUUGAUAUCAGAUCUCAUUCAAUGUGCUGUCACGUAGCACGAAUUUCAUCGAUCAAGAUUUAUUUUCAGUGGACACUUUUGCAUCUCAGAUAAAUGGUAACAGUUUUUCAGUUUCAUUACUUGACUGGGGAACCUUUAUUGUUCAUCGUCAUCAGUCCAUCAAUUAGUUUCUAAAUUUGGACACAUGAGAAGAAAGAAGAAACUACUUGGUCCCCUUUUCCAUGUCAGCAUGCUUGAAAAUCACUAGCUUCACUUUCUCGUUUGGUACGUGGAAUAAGGGAUGAUUAGUAAUGAGAUUAAUUUGUUUAUUCUAUGUUUGGUGAGAUAAAAUCGCCGGACAACAUCUCUCGAUAUUUGUCCACCACUGAGGAAGGAAUUGUUGGGUAAAUCAAGAAUAACAAUAAAAGUAUUUGUGGUAAAAUAAUAGGUCGCUUCGACCCAUGAAUCUUUCUAUCCAUUAAUCUUUAUCUUAACCAAAAGGAAUU